GUGCCAGCAGCCGCGGUAAUACAGAGGUCUCGAGCGUUGUUCGGAUUCAUUGGGCGUAAAGGGUGCGUAGGUGGUCUGGUAAGUCGGAUGUGAAAUCCCGGAGCUUAACUUCGGAACUGCAUUCGAUACUGCCGGACUGGAGUACUGGAGAGGAGAUCGGAAUUUACGGUGUAGCAGUGAAAUGCGUAGAUAUCGUAAGGAAGACCAGUGGCGAAGGCGGAUCUCUGGACAGUUACUGACACUGAGGCACGAAGGCCAGGGGAGCAAACGGGAUUAGAAACCCGCGUAGUCC
rnacentral:rRNA from 1 species